rnacentral:rRNA from 1 species
AUUGAACGCUGGCGGCAGGCCUAACACAUGCAAGUCGAGCGGAUGAAGGGAGCUUGCUCCUGGAUUCAGCGGCGGACGGGUGAGUAAUGCCUAGGAAUCUGCCCGGUAGUGGGGGAUAACGUCCGGAAGCGGGCGCUAAUACCGCAUACGUCCUGAGGGAGAAAGUGGGGGAUCUUCGGACCUCACGCUAUCAGAUGAGCCUAGGUCGGAUUAGCUAGUUGGUGGGGUAAAGGCCUACCAAGGCGACGAUCCGUAACUGGUCUGAGAGGAUGAUCAGUCACACUGGAACUGAGACACGGUCCAGACUCCUACGGGAGGCAGCAGUGGGGAAUAUUGGACAAUGGGCGAAAGCCUGAUCCAGCCAUGCCGCGUGUGUGAAGAGGGUCUUCGGAUUGUAAAGCACUUUAAGUUGGGAGGAAGGGCAGUAAGUUAAUACCUUGCUGUUUUGACGUUACCAACAGAAUAAGCACCGGCUAACUUCGUG